rnacentral:rRNA from 1 species
UAAGGAAUAUUGCUCAAUGGGAGAAAUCCUGAAGCAGCAACGCCGCGUGGAGGAUGAAGGGUCUAUGACUUGUAAACUCCUGUAAAGAAGGAAAAAAUUCCCAUUUGAUGGGAGAUGAUGGUACUUCUGGAGUAAGCCCCGGCUAACUACGUGCCAGCAGCCGCGGUAAUACGUAGGGGGCAAGCGUUGUCCGGAUUUACUGGGUGUAAAGGGUGCUCAGGCGGAUUUGUAAGUCAGAGGUGAAAUCUUACAGCUUAACUGUGAAGCUGCCUUUGAUACUGCAAGCCUAGAGUAUGGAAGAGAGUGAUGGAAUAUCUGGUGUAGCAGUGAAAUGCGUAGAUAUCAGAUAGAACACCAAUGGCGAAGGCAGUCACUUGGUCCAUUACUGACGCUAAAGCACGAAAGCGUGGGUAGCAAACA